UCCAAAUUCCCGAAGUCAUUAUGAGAUCUGUGUUCGUGAUUGGAUUCUCGGCUGACUCCAAAACCAGGUUCAGAAGACUGCUCACGCUCUGGAGCCACCACCUUAAGGACCUACUGCUUGUACACCUGUGGCUGCUCCCGGGUCUCUCUGGGCAGUGCCGUCCUGCCCCAGGCUCUCCUGAGCCAUGGGACACAAUGAAUGAGCUUGCAGCGGACUCUCUGCAGCGGCUCUGCGUCCCUCGGCAUGCCGCCAGCCAGAAGUGCCAUUCUGGUAUGAGCCUGGGUGACUUCAGUAGCCCUGCCAACACCAUCUGCUCCAGCGCAGAAAGACUACUUAAGAGUCAAAAGCAGCUGCCAGUUCAGGCUUCAACGUACUCUUUCAGUUCCCUCCAAGAUGACCUGAGUUGACCACCCUUCUAGGGAAAAAAAUUAAAUCUCCCACAUGCCUGACAUUUUGGGGUGAGAGUUUAAGGUGCCUCAGAAACUUUGGGGGGAUUUAGUCUGCCAAGAAACCAUCCCAGUGGUAACUGCUGUACAGUGGACAACUUUGGCAAACUGCUUAAUAAGGAAAGCAAGAUCAUGGAGUCCCCAAGGGAUUCAUCUCUUCAUUCAACCAACAAAUAUUGAGCACGUACAAUGUACUGGACAGUGCCCAGAAGACAUGAUCAUGAGAAAAAAGACACAGCCGCUGUUCUCUGGAUGUUUCCAGUCUAAAGGGGGACACCAGACCUUAAUCAAAUAAUCACUCAGGAAAUCAAAUGCAAGCUAUCUUUACUACUAAGAAGAACGAAUAGAGAGCUUAUGAGAACAAUGGCAAAGGAACUUGACCUUGGCAGGGGCACAGGGGAGGUCUCUGAAGAAGUUCCUGAUUGAGAUGAGAUCCAGAAUGUAGAGAAGCAACUGGGGUCUGGGUAAAGGGCUUCUGAAGAAAGAGGGCCAUUUCCGGCAGAAGGAAUGGAAAGGGCACGAGCCCUGCAGCAGGAGCAUGGCAUGCUUGGAGAAAGCACCUGGGUGUGAAUGAACCCAUGCCGGGAACAACAUGUAUGUUCUGCGAUGGCAGCAUAGCAAGAAUGUCUUUUAAAAUGUGGGAU